AUUCCUUUGAGGUGAAAUUAUUCGGUCACUUAAAAAAAAAACUUUGGAUCAGGUCAUUUUGGCAUUCAAUAUUAGUCAAAAAUAUUUUAAUAUCUGUGAACAAAUGGAACCGUCAAGUCAUGUAACCUGAGAGUAAACACACCUAAAAAAAUACCUUAAUACAGUAAGCGCUACACUUAGAAAAUGAGGAAAUGAUAAAUUAUAAGUUUCAGAUUUAAUGUUAUGGAGCACGAAGCGCCUAUGCCCCGACGUUGUGGCCGCCCUUGUGAGAAGAACGAGAACGCAGUAGACCGGUUUCGAAAUAUGCACGAGCCUCAUACCCAGCAGUCCAACAAGGUGCAUCCAGAGAAGACCAACCAGAACAGUCCUUCUCUUUCCAAUGAGCUUAGCAAGAGGCGCUCGCUACAGAAUCCCGAUAUGGAGAGUCAUCAUAAGUGAUUCUUACCUCUUAUGGCUUUUAAAAUAAGCUCUAAUUUCCAACGAGUCUCGUACCCAGCAGUCCAACAAGGUGCAUCAGAGAAGACCAACCAGAACUCUCCGUCUACAGAACCCCGAUAUGGGGAGUCAUCAUAAGUGAUUCUUAAUUCUUAUGCCUUUAAAAUAAGGCCUAAUUUCCGAUGAACCUCAUUGCCAACAGUUCAAUAGGUACAUCCGGAGAAGACCAAUCAGAACAGUCUCUAGAAAUUGUCCGGACUAGAAAAACACAUACUCAACAUCGGCUGAUAUAUUAAAUUAUUAAUUAUCUUUAUAUAUAUAAUAUAUUGACGACGACUGACCACACCAUCAACACGAUCAAGGCCUCGGACCGGACCAAGGUCGCGGUAAGUACUCGCGGUCCAGUAGGUACGCCCGUCUGUUCCUACUUUAAAAAUAGUCUCGGAUUUACGUUUUCGGUAAACUUAAUAAAGAAAAGACGCUUCCCAUAUACAUUUACGUACAACCCGUCAUAGGGAGCGUGCAUGAACUGUACGAGGCAGCACAGGAGCCGUCAAAUUUUCGGCGUUAGUCGUAAAUGUGAUGUUUAUUGUUCCGAUGUAGCCCACAAGAUGGCAAAACCUACUAUGCACAAGAAAACACGUGACGUGCAAAAGUACAUGUUUAUUGUUCCGAUUCAGGCCACAAGAUGGCAGACCCUCCAACGCGCACGGUCCCUAUAAUCACAUCCAGAAAAAAUAUUCGGUUAAAUUGACACCGGGGUCAGACGUGAGAUAGUCAGAUAGAGUAGGUAUGUAUGUAUUAGUACCACUUAUCUCUAUGACCGAUAAGUGAAGCGCCUACACGAAUAUUUGCGGAAGGAAUUAAAAUAAUCGGUAAGCUAAGGCGUAUAAUACCUUUAUCAAUAAACAUAAUAUAAUUCACAGCCAA